CCCUAGUAUAGCUAGUUUUUAAUAUUAGUAUAUGGUUGAAAAUAAAUAUUUCUGGCGGUUAGUUAUUGAUUAGAGGAGCUUGUCAGUAUAUUAAGAAAUAGCUCUUUAUAUUUUAUUUAUAAAAGUUUAUUCAUCUCCGUUAUUAGAUAGUUUAUUUAAAAAAUUAAUUUUUUAAUUUCAGGUCAAGAUGUAGCAUUUAUUACUUUAAGAUUAGCUACAAUUAUGAAAAAUUGGAUUUUGUGAGUUGUAAGGUUAAAAGGAAAAUGAAUUUAAUUGUAAAUAUAAUUAAAAGGUUAUAAUGAAUUAUUAUAAUUAAUGUA
rnacentral:rRNA from 1 species